GACGAACGCUGGCGGCGUGCUUAACACAUGCAAGUCGAACGGUGAAGCGCCUUCCUUUUUGGUGGGUGUGGAUGAGUGGCGAACGGGUGAGUAACACGUGAGUAACCUGCCCCCUUCUUCUGGAUAACCGCAUGAAAGUGUGGCUAAUACGGGAUAUUCUGGGUCUGUCGCAUGAUGGGUCUGGGAAAGAUCUUGUUUCGGUGUGGGAUGGGCUCGCGGCCUAUCAGCUUGUUGGUGGGGUGAUGGCCUACCAAGGCGGUGACGGGUAGCCGGCCUGAGAGGGUGGACGGUCACACUGGGACUGAGACACGGACCAGACUCCUACGGGAGGCAGCAGUGGGGAAUAUUGCACAAGGGGCGCAAGGCUGAUGCAGCGACGCCGCGUGAGGGAUGGAGGCCUUCGGGUUGUGAACCUCUUUCGCCAGUGAAGCAGGCCUGCCUAGUUUGUGGGUGGGUUGACGGUAGCUGGAGAAGAAGCGCCGGCUAACUACGUG
rnacentral:rRNA from 1 species